AUGGGCGAGGAAGGGGAGGGUGGAAAGCUCAGGGCUGGGAUGGGAUGGGCUGAGAUGGACAAGCGAGGCAGGGGAGAGUGGACAGGGCAGGACUGGGUGGGCAGAGCAGAGGUGAGCUGGGCUGGAUGGAUGGGUGAGGAAGGGGAGGGUAGAGAGGGCAGAGCUGAGCAGGACCAGCCUGGGCCAGGCUGGCAGUGGUGCUGGGAGGAGCUGGACACCCAAGGGGAUGGGGAAUUACACUCGAAUACAGGAAGACUCUCCAGUGCCCCUGACGCGCUGUGUGACCCAGGCAGUCACCCACCCUCUCUGUGCCUCAGGCUCUGCCCCACUUCUGCCUGGAGGGAGAGGCCAGGAGGUCAGCAGGGGCCCUACCACCCUGUCCCGAGGGUCUUCAGGUGUUUCCCGCUGCAAUCCCUAAGCCAACCUGCCAGACAGAAGGCAAGGCUGCAGGGGGUGUUAGGUAACACCCCAGCCUGUACCUCGUGCACCUCAGAAGGACAGCAGCCAGGGCUGGAACCAGAUCUGUCUGGCGCCCAGGAGGCGGCUUGGACAGCUGGUCCCGCUGCUGGCAGGCUGCGGGCUCCGAGAGUGCAAGCAGAGCAGCCGGGAGUGCAGCGGGAUCUCCACGGCCGGACCUGCGGUGACCCCCGACCUGCCCGGCCAGCGGCCACCACGCCCUGCUGCCUGCGGGUGGCCCCAUCCCCGGCCACCAGUCAGAGAGUCCCUGCGAGCCGGGGCCAGCUCAGGAGGCGCAGGGCCCCCGCCAAGGAGAGCCCAGGCGCAGGGCACCUGGGCGGUGGCCUCGGCCGAGCCUUCUGCAGGCUGAGACUCCAGGGGACCCACCCGGAGCGGGGAGCGAGCCGGCGCCCACAUGCCCUGCUGCACGGUGAGUGGGGCAGGAGGGAGGGCUCUCCUGGGCCCCGCGGGGAAGGGCACCCCCCUGCAGGCGGGGGGCGGGGCUGGUGGGCACUGAGGACGCGGGACUGGGGACCGGAGCCGUGGGGAGGGGGCCCGGGAGCGGCAGGUGGCGGGAGCGGCCGGGUUUCCGCUGACUUCUUCAAGUUCCCUGGGGGCUGCAGGCGGCCCGCGGGCACCUGCUCUGCCCGCACCCCAGCAGCGCCCAGCCGGGCGGGGUCGUGCGCGGAGCCGGUGGGCGGGGGGCCGGGCCGGGGCGGCCGUGCGGUGCUGCAUUGCACCCACAUCCCGGACGCUCGCUCGGGCCAGCGCCACCUCCAGGGCACCUCCUGA
rnacentral:lncRNA from 1 species